GAUGAACGCUGGCGGCGUGCCUAAUACAUGCAAGUCGAGCGAACAGACGAGGAGCUUGCUCCUCUGACGUUAGCGGCGGACGGGUGAGUAACACGUGGAUAACCUACCUAUAAGACUGGGAUAACUUCGGGAAACUGGAGCUAAUACCGGAUAAUAUAUUGAACCGCAUGGUUCAAUAGUGAAAGACGGUUUUGCUGUCACUUAUAGAUGGAUCCGCGCCGCAUUAGCUGGUUGGUAAGGUAACGGCUUACCAAGGCAACGAUGCGUAGCCGACCUGAGAGGGUGAUCGGCCACACUGGAACUGAGACACGGUCCAGACUCCUACGGGAGGCAGCAGUAGGGAAUCUUCCGCAAUGGGCGAAAGCCUGACGGAGCAACGCCGCGUGAGUGAUGAAGGUCUUCGGAUCGUAAAACUCUGUUAUUAGGGAAGAACAAAUGUGUAAGUAACUAUGCACGUCUUGACGGUACCUAAUCAGAAAGCCACGGCUAACUACGUG
rnacentral:rRNA from 1 species